GUCUCUAAGAUUUUAAUUUAAAGUCUAAUCUGCCCAAUGAAUUUUUUUAAAUGGCUGCAGAAUUUUUUUACUGUACAAAGGUAGCAUAAUAAUUUGUUUUUUAAUUAAAAACUAGAAUAAAAGAUUAAAUGAAAUAUAAACUGUUUCAAUUAAUUUAUUAUUAAAUUUUUUAUUUAAGUUAAAAAACUUAAAUAAUAUUUAAAGACGACAAGACCCUAUAGAAUUUUAUUUAUUUUUUAUUUAUUUUUAAAUUUAAAUAAAUUUUAUUGGGGUAAUAAAAAAAUUUAAAUAAUUUUUUUUUAAAUUAACAUUUUUAAUGAAUUUUUUAUCUUAAUUUUUAAAUUAAAAAAAUUAAUUACCUUAGGGAUAACAGCAUAAUUUUUUUUAAAAGAUCUUAUUAAUAAAAAAGAUUAU
rnacentral:rRNA from 1 species